rnacentral:rRNA from 1 species
ACGUAGGUGGUAAGCGUUGUCCGGAAUUAUUGGGCGUAAAGCGCGCGCAGGCGGUCCUUUAAGUCUGAUGUGAAAGCCCACGGCUCAACCGUGGAGGGUCAUUGGGAACUGGGGGACUUGAGUGCAGAAGAGGAAAGUGAAAUUCCACGUGUAGCGGUGAAAUGCGUAGAGAUGUGGAGGAACACCGGUGGCGAAGGCGGCGUCCUGGACCAACACUGACACUGAUGAGCGAAAGCCAGGGGAGCAAACGGGA